UACGGGGGGGAGCAAGCGUUGUUCGGAUUUACUGGGCGUAAAGGGCGCGUAGGCGGUCGUGACAAGUCACUUGUGAAAUCUCCGGGCUUAACUCGGAACGGUCAAGUGAUACUGUCGUGCUAGAGUACAGAAGGGGCAACUGGAAUUCUCGGUGUAGCGGUGAAAUGCGUAGAUAUCGGAAGGAACGCCGGUGGCGAAAGCGACGUGCUGGACCUCUUCUGACGCUGAGGCGCGAAAGCUAGGGGAGCAAACGGG
rnacentral:rRNA from 1 species